CGGCGGACGGGUGAGUAACGCGUGGGUAACCUGCCUCAUACAGGGGGAUAACAGUUAGAAAUGACUGCUAAUACCGCAUAAGACCACGGUACCGCAUGGUACAGUGGUAAAAACUCCGGCGGUAUGAGAUGGACCCGCGUCUGAUUAGGUAGUUGGUGGGGUAACGGCCUACCAAGCCGACGAUCAGUAGCCGACCUGAGAGGGUGACCGGCCACAUUGGGACUGAGACACGGCCCAG
rnacentral:rRNA from 1 species